GACGAACGCUGGCGGCGUGCUUAACACAUGCAAGUCGAACGGUAAGGCCCUUCGGGGUACACGAGUGGCGAACGGGUGAGUAACACGUGGGUGAUCUGCCCUGCACUUCGGGAUAAGCCUGGGAAACUGGGUCUAAUACCGGAUAGGACCACUGCCUGCAUGGGUGGUGGUGGAAAGCGUUUGCGGUGUGGGAUGGGCCCGCGGCCUAUCAGCUUGUGGGUGGGGUGAUGGCCUACCAAGGCGACGACGGGUAGCCGGCCUGGGAGGGUGACCGGCCACACUGGGACUGAGAUACGGCCCAGACUCCUACGGGAGGCAGCAGUGGGGAAUAUUGCACAAUGGGCGCAAGCCUGAUGCAGCGACGCCGCGUGAGGGAUGACGGCCUUCGGGUUGUAAACCUCUUUCAGCACCGACGAAGCGCAAGUGACGGUAGGUGCAGAAGAAGGACCGGCCAACUACGUGCCAGCCGCCGCCGUAA
rnacentral:rRNA from 1 species